GGCGGAAUUCGUGGUGUAGCGGUGAAAUGCUUAGAUAUCACGAAGAACUCCGAUUGCGAAGGCAGCACACUAAUCCGUAACUGACGUUCAUGCUCGAAAGUGUGGGUAUCAAACAGGAUUAGAUACCCUGGUAGUCCACACGGUAAACGAUGGAUACUCGCUGUUGGCGAUAUACUGUCAGCGGCUUAGCGAAAGCGUUAAGUAUCCCACCUGGGGAGUACGCCGGCAACGGUGAAACUCAAAGGAAUUGACGGGGGCCCGCACAAGCGGAGGAACAUGUGGUUUAAUUCGAUGAUACGCGAGGAACCUUACCCGGGCUUGAAUUGCAGAGGAAGGAUUUGGAGACAAUGACGCCCUUCGGGGUCUCUGUGAAGGUGCUGCAUGGUUGUCGUCAGCUCGUGCCGUGAGGUGUCGGCUUAAGUGCCAUAACGAGCGCAACCCCUCUCCUUAGUUGCCAUCAGGUCAAGCUGGGCACUCUGGGGACACUGCCACCGUAAGGUGUGAGGAAGGUGGGGAUGACGUCAAAUCAGCACGGCCCUUACGUCCGGGGCUACACACGUGUUACAAUGGCAGGUACAGAGAGACGGUCCCUUGCAAAAUGGAUCAAAUCCUUAAAGCCUGUCUCAGUUCGGACUGGGGUCUGCAACCCGACCCCACGAAGCUGGAUUCGCUAGUAAUCGCGCAUCAGCCAUGGCGCGGUGAAUACGUUCCCGGGCCUUGUACACACCGCCCGUCAAGCCAUGAAAGCCGGGGGCGCCUAAAGUCCGUGACCGUAAGGAGCGGCCUAGGGCGAAACUGGUAAUUGGGGCUAAGUCGUAACAAGGUAGCCGUACCGGAAGGUGCGGCUG
rnacentral:rRNA from 1 species